AGCGAACGCUGGCGGCAGGCUUAACACAUGCAAGUCGAGCGGGCGUAGCAAUACGUCAGCGGCAGACGGGUGAGUAACGCGUGGGAACGUACCUUUUGGUUCGGGAUAACCCAGGGAAACUUGGGCUAAUACCGGAUAAGCCCUUACGGGGAAAGAUUUAUCGCCGAAAGAUCGGCCCGCGUCUGAUUAGCUAGUUGGUGAGGUAACGGCUCACCAAGGCGACGAUCAGUAGCUGGUCUGAGAGGAUGAUCAGCCACAUUGGGACUGAGACACGGCCCAAACUCCUACGGGAGGCAGCAGUGGGGGAAUAUUGGACAAUGGGCGCAAGCCUGAUCCAGCCAUGCCGCGUGAGUGAUGAAGGCCCUAGGGUUGUAAAGCUCUUUUGUGCGGGAAGAUAAUGACGGUACCGCAAGAAUAAGCCCCGGCUAACUUCGUGCCAGCCGCCGCAGUAAU
rnacentral:rRNA from 1 species